AUUGAACGCUGGCGGCAGGCCUAACACAUGCAAGUCGAGCGGAUGAGUGGAGCUUGCUCCAUGAUUCAGCGGCGGACGGGUGAGUAAUGCCUAGGAAUCUGCCUGGUAGUGGGGGACGACGUUUCGAAAGGAACGCUAAUACCGCAUACGUCCUACGGGAGAAAGUGGGGGAUCUUCGGACCUCACGCCAUCAGAUGAGCCUAGGUCGGAUUAGCUAGUUGGUGAGGUAAAGGCUCACCAAGGCGACGAUCCGUAACUGGUCUGAGAGGAUGAUCAGUCACACUGGAACUGAGACACGGUCCAGACUCCUACGGGAGGCAGCAGUGGGGAAUAUUGGACAAUGGGCGAAAGCCUGAUCCAGCCAUGCCGCGUGUGUGAAGAAGGUCUUCGGAUUGUAAAGCACUUUAAGUUGGGAUGAAGGGCAGUAAGUUAAUACCUUGCUGUUUUGACGUUACCAACAGAAUAAGCACCGGCUAACUUCGUGCCAGCAGCCGCCGUAACAC
rnacentral:rRNA from 1 species